CCGCAGCACAUGGGAGAACCGACCAAGAGGCUUGGCGCCUCGCUGAUCGGUGCCGAAGGAGCAACCGCCCCGGAAACUCUCAGGCCACAAGGACCGUGUGCGCGUA
rnacentral:ncRNA from 2 species